rnacentral:tRNA from 1 species
GAGGAUAUAGCUCAGUGGUAGAGUGCGUGCUUAGCCUGCACGAGGUCCUGGGCUCAAUCCCCAGUAGCUUGG